CCCAUAAUAGAAGGGAGGCAGUGGGGAGAAGAGUUAUGGGCAGUGAGCAGCGUCGUGUGCGUGCCGAGCAUGUUAGCGCCAAAUGCGUCAGACAAGCUGCAGAGGGAGAGCUAGCCGCCUUUGCUUCUUACAGUUAAGGUUUGGUGACACGUGACAUUUCCCGGAGUGAUUUCACGCUUUGACGUUCUGAGCGGUUUUCUGCUUGCUACGCCGUUAAAGUAAAAAAAGUGCUGUAUCAUUUGCUUGUUUAUUAGCGAUGCUUCAAGCAUUGAUUGCUAAAUGAGAAUAGUGUGGCAUUGAUUUUUUUUUUUUUGUGUGUGUGUGUGUAAAAAAUAUUUUGAGAUAUGAUAUAAGUAUUUUCCUCAGAACGUUGUGAGAUAAAUCAAGAAUAAUGCUGCGGCUCGGCGUGGGAUCAAUUAUGAGAAUUCAUAUUUAGCAAUUAGAAUAUUAUCAUUCUUCAUAUUGAUGAUGAUAGUUUCAUUGGGUGUGUGAAAAUAAAUUCUCAAGUAUGAAUAAAGGCUGGAAUCCAGUUCAGGGUUUGCACUCCCUCUGCCCAAAGUCAGCCAGGAUAAAAAGCUUCAUCCCAAAUGGAAGCCUCUCUGUAGUUGAGAAGCUCCGCCCCUUUCCACUAUCUCAUUGCAACUCUUCUUCCGUCGAACUCAAACGCACACGUCCUAUAGAAAAUCGAUCAAAAGUGGCUCAAGAAAAUAUUUCCUAAAUUUAGACGCGUACGCAGGCCACGUUGCCAAGCUGCAGAGUCGGAAAGAGAAUGUUUUCUGCACGGGGGUCAGAAUGAAAGGCCAUUGUGUUAUAUAAGCGUUGCUCCAGUGCCUCUACCCGCCAUGCAUAAUGAAUGGCGCAGACAUGCGUAGCCUAUUCAAUGGGAAUACAAACUCGCAGGGGCUCUCUUUUUACAUGGCCGCCCAGGCUGCCUCCUCAAUCAGCGGGAGUAAAAGCAUCCGUGGCAUUGCUUUGCCUGCAGCUUGGACCUCGGCCAUUCAAAAAAAA